UUUAAAAUCUUUUAAAAGUUGUAGUAUUUUUUCUAUACAAAGGUAUUGUAAUAAGGUUUUUUUUGAAUUCUAAGAGAAUGGAAUUACUGCGGAAAAUUUUUUUUAAUUUUAUUAAUUGAAGUUAUUUUUAUUUGUGUAGAAACAAUUAUAUAAAUUAAAGACAAGAAGACCCUUUGAAUUUUAGAAUUUUUUUUAAUAUAUUAUAUAUUUAUAUAUAUAUAAAUAAAAUUUUUAUUUGGGGGGCAACUAAAAAAUAUAUUUAUUUUUUUUUUUUAAAAAAAUUUCCCAUUAUUUAUGAUAAUAUUAAAAAAAUUCUCUUGGGAUAACAGCUUAAUUUUUUUUGAUAGAUCUUAUAUAUAA
rnacentral:rRNA from 1 species